UGCCGGGUGCACCUCUCUCCCCCACCCGGCCCGCGCGCUUGCUGGCGCGCACGCUCGUUCAGCCUGCGACCCGACGAGUCCUCAACAAGUUGGAGGAAGGCAGUAACGCAAGGGUUAAACUCGGAAAGCCGCAAUUACCAAGAUCGUGACCCUCCCACACAGUACAGUAACUUAUAUACUCACCUGGAAGCGCCCGCUUUGCCGCUGGGCAAAUACCCGUGGGGGCGGGGAGGGGCGCGAGAGGAGCGGGCCCGUUGGAGAGGGGCUUCUUCAAGCUGGCUGCAGUGUGGACUGGACCAGCACGCUCUUGGGACCUCCGGACCGAGGUGGUCCAACCCGUCCUGACACAUGGAGAUCUGCAUGAGGGGUAGCCACUGGAAAAGGGGUUCUCAGAGACCACAGGAGUGGAAGGGUCUGGACAAAUGAGCUCUGGAGUCCCAGGAACUUGGUUUCCUAAAAUAGAAAGGAAGUUUGGCGGAGAGUUUGGCAGCGUUGAUAGUUUACAGCAAAUGAAGAAUCAAUCCAUUUGCAGCUGGUGUUGAAACUAGAAAAUGUCAAAAGUUUUAUCUCCUGAAGAAUCAGGGAGACUUUAAAUGUGAAAGUUUUCAUCUUUAGGAUUGAACACCUCCUCGACUGAACUGAAAUGAGACAUCGAGUACAAUAUUUUAAGCUAUGUUUAAAAGAAGAUGAAAUAGAAGAACAAACUGUUAAAAAUAUGUAAGUGUUAUGGUACAGCCAAAUGAAGGAUUCGGCUCUACUGGUAUUCUUAAAAAUUCCUACUUCUGUGAAAUUCCCUAAUUGCAGAAUUCUCCUUCACUACAUCGAACAACUGAUUUCCUCAGUAGUUCCGAUCUGAAAGUGAAUUAACAGAAAUACUGAAAAUGAAUUUAAAAUUAAAUGGGAACAUUCGUAUACCAAUAUGAUACAGUAUUGUUGAUUCGCAUUUUUCUAUAUUCAAGACUAUUCUUAAAUUCAAAUCUUUUAAAUAAAUGAGACUGAAAGCCAA